rnacentral:snRNA from 1 species
AGUGUAGUAUCUGUUCUUAUCAGUUUAAUAUCUGAUAUGUGGGCCAUGUGCCCACAAUGAUAUUAAAUUUAUUUUUUGUGGGGUGGGCCCACCACAGUAGCUUGCUGCUGGGGUCCACACGUGUCGCCUGGGCGUUGCACUGCUGCCCUGCAAAUUAUGAAUUAA